AUGAACGUUGGCGGCGUGCCUAAUACCUGCCAGUCGAGCGAACAGACGAGGAGCUUGCUCCUCUGACGUUAGCGGCGGACGGGUGAGUAACACGUGGAUAACCUACCUAUAAGACUGGGAUAACUUCGGGAAACCGGAGCUAAUACCGGAUAAUAUAUUGAACCGCAUGGUUCAAUAGUGAAAGACGGUUUUGCUGUCACUUAUAGAUGGAUCCGCGCCGCAUUAGCUAGUUGGUAAGGUAACGGCUUACCAAGGCAACGAUGCGUAGCCGACCUGAGAGGGUGAUCGGCCACACUGGAACUGAGACACGGUCCAGACUCCUACGGGAGGCAGCAGUAGGGAAUCUUCCGCAAUGGGCGAAAGCCUGACGGAGCAACGCCGCGUGAGUGAUGAAGGUCUUCGGAUCGUAAAACUCUGUUAUUAGGGAAGAACAAAUGUGUAAGUAACUAUGCACGUCUUGACGGUACCUAAUCAGAAAGCCACGGCUAACUACGUG
rnacentral:rRNA from 1 species